rnacentral:miRNA from 1 species
AUCUGUAAAAGGAGCGGGGUGCU